AAAUUAUUUAUUUAUUCAAUUCCAGUAUAAGCCAUCAGUUUCAAACAUGGAAUUACAUAGUAGAAUGUUCCAAAUUAGUGUAUAUACGUAUAUAAACAUAAAAAUUUAACAUAAUUUGUGUGAUUUAGGUAAUGUGCUAAAUACAAUCAAUUUUCUAUGGAGUGCAGAAAAUAAAUUUGCCACUACCUGAUAGGACGACUUACAUGGUUCAAUGGAAUAGUAUCCCAACGAAUACAACGUUUCCUAGUGACUCAUUAUGAGACGUCACGUCGCUUAUUCAGUCACCAGGCAAGCCAACCAGCCGUCCAAUCUUGUCUUCUCGUAAAUGAAAUGAGCCAAAUUUAGUUAGAUCCACAAAUGGUUCCAUCCAAAUGUCAAACCCGCAAUGUAAGUGGGUGAAGUUGAAAUUUCCAGAGAAACACAAUCACCACUAUGCGGAUGGUCAUAAUAAGCCCUAUAAAAACUUUUAUAAUAUUCAUGCAAACUCAACAUUAAGGACUGCAACCUAAACUACCCUUGUCAUAGCUGAAGAUCAUUAAUUUUCGAAAAAGGCGUUUUGACUGUGCUCCAAAUUGGAAAUUCACAAACAACUUCAUUAACGCUUAUGAGAAUCGCAGAUAAUUACAUAGAACGCAGAACUACAACAAUUUAUCCCCCCACUUCAGUGGGCAAUGGGAAACGGAAGAAUAUUAAGAAGCAACGAUCUCACAAAUAAAACCAUUUUACCACAAAUGGAAUGAUCAAAAGUAAAUAAAUUCAUCAAGCAGACAAACGUACACCUAGGCUUUGGGCACAUAAAUAGCCCAGCCAAUUGAACAAAAAAAAAAGAAGAGAAUUUUACUUAAAGAACAUGCCAUAUAAGCAAAGAAUAACUUUAUAAAGUCUUAAAAGUUUGGCAAAAACAAAAUCGAAAAGUAACGCCAACACAGGAAUAGCGAUGACCUUAACGAAAUGGUUGCCACUGCCACUUAAAGUAUUAUUGAACUUCAAUCAAACAAUUGGCCAUUGCACGCAAAAACGCAAUAUUCAAUCAAACUGGAAUUGAUGACAUCAUGCAUGGAAUAUUUUUGGACAUGACCAGAAAUCCUAAGCCUGAAAGGAUUGUCAAUUUAAAGCCAUGUUCACUACAAACAAAUGAAUGAUGUCAUUUCCAUGUCCGCUCUGCUUAAACGAUUGUUUUCGAACAAUGUUGUGCAUUCGUCACUGGGCAGCUUGCGUAACCGUUUUGGUCGGUCGGGAAGCCAAGCACAAACUUAAGACCAGUUUAAAUUGACUUUCAUUUAACCUAUAUUUUUACAUUUUCAAUUCAUACAAAAUUGUUGUACUUGAAGAGAAUCAUGUAUGUCAAAUUUGAA